rnacentral:pre_miRNA from 1 species
AAAAAGGCAAACCGUGGGUUUCCGUGCCAACGUUUGACUGUCUGUCUUAUAUGAAAUUUUUUUAUAAUUAGUAUUUUCAUUGUUGUUAGAUGAUAAAACAUGAUUAAUACUUUAUGCGUGACUUAUCUUUUUAAUUUUGUUCAUAACUUUUUCAAAUAAGACGGACGGUCAAAUGUUGGACACGAAAACCAGGGUUUGUCUUUUU